UACGGGGGGGGCAAGCGUUGUUCGGAAUUACUGGGCGUAAAGGGCUCGUAGGCGGCCAACUAAGUCAGACGUGAAAUCCCCAGGCUCAACCUGGAAACUGCGUCUGAUACUGGAUGGCUUGAAUCCGGGAGAGGGAUGCAGAAUUCCAGGUGUAGCGGUGAAAUGCGUAGAUAUCUGGAGGAAUACCGGUGGCGAAGGCGGCAUCCUGGACCGGCAUUGACGCUGAGGAGCGAAAGCCAGGGGAGCAAACGGG
rnacentral:rRNA from 1 species